GAUGAAUUUUAUUUUGGUUUAUAUAUUUAUUUAUAGAUUGUUUUAUAUGUAAGCUUUUGUGUUCUAUUGAAAAUUAAAGAUUUAGAUAGUAUGAUGAUUGCAGUAAAUGGAAUUAUUAGUUAAUUAAGGUUAGAUAUAGUAAUUCUUAUAGGAUUGACAAAAAUUGUGCCAGCAGUCGCGGUUAUACAAUAAAUUCAAAUAAAUAUUCUUGGUGUUAGUUAAAUUUACGUGAGUUAGUUUAUGAAAUUAAAUUUUAGGUGAAAUUUAAUUUUUUUAAAUAAAUUAUUGAUAGUAUGAUUGAAGCUAGAAAAUUUUAGAUUUAAACUAGGAUUAGAUACCCUAUUAUUUGGAAUGUAUUUUUAAGGCCUGAGUAGUAGUAGAUAUGUUCUUGAAACUUAAAAAAUUUGGCGGUAUUUUAGUCUAUUCAGAGGAACCUGUUCUGUAAUCGACAGUCCACGUUGGACCUAACUUACUUUAGUUAUUACAGCUUGUAUACCGCCGUUAUUAAAUAUUUCAUUAGAAUUAUAAUGUUUAAUAUUUUUUAUUAAAAUUAAUGUCAGGUCAAGGUGCAGCUUAUGGGUAAGGAGAAAUGGGUUACAAUAAAGUUAUUUAUACGGAUAUUGAAUUGUAAUAUUUGGUUAAAGGUGGAUUUGAUAGUAAAUAGAUAAAGAUUGCUUUUUUGAUUUUAGCUCUAAAAUAUGCACACAUCGCCCGUCGCUCUUGUUUAAUUCAAGAUAAGUCGUAACAAAGUAGAUGUACUGGAAAGUGCCUCUAGAAUGAC
rnacentral:ncRNA from 1 species